rnacentral:rRNA from 1 species
UUGGAGGGCAAGUCUGGUGCCAGCAGCCGCGGUAAUUCCAGCUCCAAUAGCGUAUAUUAAAGUUGUUGCAGUUAAAAAGCUCGUAGUUGAAUUUCGGGAUCGACGGGUCGGUCGCGCCUCCGGUGUGUACUGGCCCUGUCGGUUUCUCCCUUCUGACGAACCACGAUGUCAUUAAUUUGAUGUCGUGGGAAAUCAGGACUGUUACUUUGAAAAAAUUAGAGUGUUUAAAGCAGGCAUUCGCUUGAAUACAUUAGCAUGGAAUAAUGAAAUAGGACGUUUGAUCUUAUUUUGUUGGUUUCUAAGAUCGACGUAAUGAUUAAUAGGGAUAGUUGGGGGCAUUAGUAUUCAAUUGUCAGAGGUGAAAUUCUUGGAUUUAUUGAAGACUAACUACUGCGAAAGCAUUUGCCAAGGAUGUUUUCAUUAAUCAAGAACGAAAGUUAGGGGAUCGAAGACGAUCAGAUGCCGUCGUAGUCUUAACCAUAAACUAUGCCGACUAGGGAUCGGAUGAUGUUAAUUUUUUAAUGACUCAUUCGGCGCCUUACGGGAAAC